rnacentral:rRNA from 1 species
CGGACGGCUGAGUAAUGAACAGGAACGUACCUCGAAGUGGGGCGAUAGCCUCUCGAAAGAGAGGGUAAUACCGCAUGUUGUCGCAAGACCAAAGCCGAAAGGCGCUUUGAGAGCGGCCUGUUUCCUAUCAGGUUGUUGGUGGGGUAAAAGCCUACCAAGCCUAUGACGGGUAGCUGGUCUGAGAGGAUGACCAGCCAGAUCGGGACUGAGAUACGGCCCAG